rnacentral:lncRNA from 1 species
UGGAGCCUUGAGAACAAGAUCUCAGGUAAACACCCUGCCUAUGAGACCUGUAAGAAAAAACACCAUGAAACAACAACAGAAAACAAUACAAGAACUGCCACACAGUGGAUACUUCAGCCAUGACAAAUUCCCUUUGAAGAUUUGGGCUUGUUAUGUGGCUGGGUUCCCUGUCACCCCGCAGUGACUGGGAGUCAGCUGGCCUGGGCAACACCUACUUGUGCACAUGAGAUGUGUACGCAGCUCACCACUGAAAGUUUCAGGCUGAUGAGGCUUACAGGGCUUCUUACUCCAGUUUUCAAUGUGAAAAUGUGGAAGAGAAAGUGAAACACAUCUUAUUAUUACCUUCCUUCUCUAUGGCAAGCUAUCCCAGAGGAGCCCUGAGAAGCGGAGGGUUGACAUUUACAGAUAACUGCUCCUGGAGUUCCUCAAGAGUGUGCUUAAAACACACCUCUUAUUUUAUGCAUUUCUGUGUUUUGGAAUAAUGUGGAAUUUUUGGAAUAACGUGGAAUUUUUGGAAUAAAUUCUGAGCACAACAAAUGCAACACAUCACCAUGUUUCAAUCCAAAUAGAUGAACACACAUGCAGAAACAAGCUUUAAAAAAAAAAAUAAAUUUAUUAAAAAAAAAAAAACAGCACUGUGUGCUCAGCACUAUGAAGAGAAGUCAUCAGCCAAACCUGAAGAGGAGGAUAUAGUACUCCAGCAAAAGCAGCUGAACUUGUAACAGUCACCAGCUGGCACACAUUGAAAUAGCUCAGCCUCAGUCUCCAGCUGAGAUCCAGCACAGCUGAUCUUGGUGUAGGGCAUAAAUCUGCACAGAGCUCCCAGAUGCUCCUUCUGUGCUGGGGGUAGUUGUACUUGAUCCUAUGGGCUUGGGAAGGUCUUGGCAAAUGUGGAAUUUUUCUCCUUUUGCAGAGCUAGAAUCCUCCUUUGGCUCUGGAACAGGGGUGUGGGUUAAAGCAAGCUUUGCCUACACUGCAAGGACCAUAUGUCUGAGGUUGCCAUACAUAAUUCGUUGAUGGUUUUUGCAGUUCAAAGUGGCUGAAGUGUCACUGUGGCACACUGACACUAUCCAUGGCAAAAUGCAGCUGGAGCCUAGAGAAGGAUGUGCCUUCACCAGGGCAUUUACCAGCACUGCUCAGAGCUUCAGCAAGAUAGAAAAGCCAGAGUACAAUGGUGUGUUAGAUGUGCCCAGAUCCUGGGCUUAUCUUGUACUUUAAGAUAAAGAGAAGAAACUGUCCCAUGGAGUGGUUGUAAAAGCCAGUUGGAGGAAAUAAAGGAUGCAAAGGGAAAUUGAAAGCUUUGCUG